rnacentral:rRNA from 1 species
AUUGAACGCUAGCGGGAUGCCUUACACAUGCAAGUCGAACGGAGUGGCGAACGGGCGAGUAAUGUAUCGGAACGUGCCCAGUCGCGGGGGAUAACUACGCGAAAGCGUAGCUAAUACCGCACACUAUUUGCGCGGCCGUCAGUGGAUUAGCUAGUUGGUGGGGUAACGGCUCACCAAGGCGACGAUCCGUAGCUGGUUUGAGAGGACGACCGGCCACACUGGGACUGAGACACGGCCCAGACUCCUACGGGAGGCAGCAGUGGGGAAUUUUGGACAAUGGGGGAAAGCCUGAUCCAGCCAUCCCGCGUGUGCGAUGAAGGCCUUCGGGUUGUAAAGCACUGUUGUAAGAGAAGCGGUACCUGCAGAAUAAGCACCGGCUAACUACGUGCCAGCAGCCGCGGUAAUAC